rnacentral:rRNA from 1 species
UACGUAGGGUGCGAGCGUUAAUCGGAAUUACUGGGCGUAAAGCGUGCGCAGGCGGUUCGUUGUGUCUGAUGUGAAAGCCCCGGGCUCAACCUGGGAAUGGCAUUGGAAACUGGCGAGCUGGAGUGUGGCAGAGGGGGGUGGAAUUCCGCGUGUAGCAGUGAAAUGCGUAGAGAUGUGGAGGAACACCGAUGGCGAAGGCAGCCCCCUGGGUCAAGAUUGACGCUCAUGCACGAAAGCGUGGGGAGCAAACAGG